CACAUGUCAGUAUUUUGCAUAUAUGGAUAGGUUUGCCUAAACAAAAAUGCAUAAAUUGUAUUAUUCUUUUGCAACAUACCAUGCGUCCAUAUGGUGAAGGGUGUGCAAGAGUACUUGUGAAUGAAAAAAUAAAAAAUAAAGUCAUCCUCAAAUAUUUGAAGGGCUGUCACAUAGUAGAUUAUGGGAAACAGGGUUUCCUGUUGCUUCAGAGGGUAGGCUUCAAAUUGCCAGAAACGUGUUUUUAGAGUAACUGUUAGUAUGAGUUGUUUGUCAGUGAAGCAGACUCUUGGAGCAUGGUAGACUCUUUUUUGUUAAACAUUUUAAAGCAGAGCUGGGAUGGCCACUUAUGGCAUACUGGAGUAGUGGGGGAUUUCCUGCAGUGAUAGAGGGUUGAGCUAGAUCAGGCAGGUAUAGGCAAACUUGACCCUCCAGAUGUUUUGGGACUACAACUCCCAUCAUCCCUAGCUAACAGGACCAGUGGUCAGGGAUGAUUGGAAUUGUAGUCUCAAAACAUCUGGAGGGUUGAGUUGGCCUAUGCCUGGGCUAGAUGAGCUUCAAGGGCCUUCCCUCUCUUAUUCUAAACCUAUGAGAAUCAUUUACCGUAUUUUUUGCACCAUAACACUCACUUUUUUCCUCCUAGAAAGUAAGGGGAAAUGUCUGUGUGUGUUAUGGAGGAAAUGCCUACGGGUGGCAUGCCUACGGAUUUUCCUCCUCUAAAACUACGUGCGUGUUAUGUUCGGGUGCGUGUUAUAGAGUGAAAAAUACGGUAUAUUGACACCAUUGGUACAUGAAAUGCCAGUGGCUGCUUUCUUCAUGCCUGGAAGACACAAUUUCCCCUGCCACAAACCUGCACCAAAACCAGUUACUGUAGAUAAUGCAUCCUGAGCCCAUCUCAUAAUCUUCUUUCGCUAUGCUGCACAGGAAAUACCAUAUACAGUACACACUCCAUCUCAACCAAGUAAUGCUCCAAUGUGCUGUUGAAUUCCUUCAUGCUUUAGGAAAACCCUUGCAUUGGAGUUAAAAGCAUUUCCCACUAGAAAUAUUUUUCUGCUUGAGACUCUAUUGAAAUGUGUGAUGGAUGCCUGUAUUCAUUUUGAUGGGAAAAGCUUAACAGUAGUAUGUAAAUUAUUUUUGACAAAUACUUUAUUUACAUAGUCACUAAUGUUCUAUUACAUUAGUGUGGAAGUGAUGUAAUUAAUUUUUAUGUUAUCUAUGUAAAACUGUCCAUUAGGUUCAGGAACCUAAUUAUGUUGGGAAUUAUGUUUGGUCUUGAUAAAUGUUCUCGAAAAAACGAAGAACAGAAUCUUAAGACCAGAGUUCUCAUGCAUUACAGUGCCUGGUAAGGUGAGCUGGGAAAGCUAAAAUUUCAACUCUGAAUUCACAAAGUGGCAUUGGGGAAGAUACUCAUUCAACCCUGGCACCUCUGAGCAAAGGCUCAUCCAUUUCUGGAAGGUGUGGCUAGAUGGAUCAAUGGUCUGCCUUACUUUCAGUCAGCUUCCUAUGAUCUGCCUCCUGGUCUCUGUUGGCCAUAAGUGUGGAACCAGAAGUAGUUUGCUUGCAUUUGAAAGAUCAAAGUGCCUGUUUUUUGUGGGGGGUUUUUUGUGGGGGAGACUAUUACGCCCUAAAUCUUGAAAGAACUUUCUCUAUCCACAGCAGCCAUGUAAGAAAAACUGGGCUACAACAACCAGAAGAGUAAAGGAAGUAGACCAAGCCAUGCAUUCAGUGAAAGUUGUGAGCUGCUUUGGAGCUCUAAGAAAACAAACAAAAGCACAUAUGAUACAAAGCAAGUGAUUAAAAAGCUUGAUUUAAAAUAAUUAAUGGGUAUUAUACUUGUCCUUUUGGUUCUGGGGUUGGCAAGUUGUUAAAUCUUUUAAAAUCUUGAGAAUUCCUAAUGGACAGGGUUGCAAAUGGGUUUUUUAUUUGAUAAAGCUGGAAUAAAGUACGCAGCAUACAAUAUAUUCUUUUUAUAAAAAUGUAAUAUGUUAACUUACUUGGGUGGCAUUUAAUAUGUAGUAAAGAUGUGAAUGAAGUACUAGUGUCAGAAUAAUCAACUUGGGGGGAAAUGGCCAGAAAGCCUUUAUCUAUUAAUAUGAUUUUCUAAUGGUUGCACAGACAGCACAAAUUAUCUGAGCAGCUGUGAACUUGGUUUAUUUUGUCAACUGUAACCAGUAAGUUCCAUAAAUAUUCCAAAAUAUCUGGGGUUGUAGUAAUAAAAGUCAUAUUCUGCAUGCACUGUCUUGUGCUAAUCGCAGCAGAGAAUUCAGUUGUAUUAUACUGCUUCUGUCUCUAGGGUUUAUUUCACAUAAUCCUGCUUUAUGAGCAAUAUAAGUGAAAACAGUCGAACUCUCCCACCCCCCUUUCUGCUAUGCUGCUCCUUGUAACUGGAAUGUCUCUGCUCAUAAAAAUAAAUGUGCUUCUGCUUCCUGAUAUAUUUUAUAUAUGAGAAGAUUGAAACAAGCCCACUCACAGUGCGUAGUGUUUAGUAUUAAAUCAUUCUUACUGAUAAAAUCCUCCUGACUUUUUUGGUAGGAAGGUUUUCUUUAAACACAAUUCCCGCCCCAAAAAAUAAUGUGCUAGUAGUAGUAUUCCUGGUAGUGACUUUGGAGACUACAAGUACUCAGGUGCUCAAAACAAUACUUUGAUAAAUAACCUUGAGCCCCGUUCAAUAAAGCUGCAGAAUACCUUUCUUAUAAUGCUAUAUGCCAAAUUUUAACAUUACAAACCCAUUCCUAUUAACCUUAUGCAUGGUGUAAUAUGGUUUUAAGUGCCUCAUGUUUUCACAGAGUUUGAAAUAAGAGUGAAAAAUAUUUCAUGAGCCAAUGUACACAUUCAAGUGUGUCCUUCAAAGUUAGAUUUCAGUAAAUAUGGGUUAAUAAUAAGCCUCUUCUCCCAGGAGGAAAUAUAGCUUUAAAAAUUUGGUGGGAUGAAAGCUGCCUUAUCAUUUCUUGGUUUAGUUUCUCCUCAUUAGCCUGUUAUUGACUGUGGUUCCCUUCUUGGGAAUAUCAAAACACGUUACACUGCCAGAAUUCAUUGGCACCAACCGACUGAGUCAGAGCCUAAUGCUAUUACAAGGCCUGCAACAGCUGCAACAGCCAUACAUCUGCAAGUCAUUUGGAAAUGGGAUAGAAACUAUCCAUUACAUGGAAUUGUACCUUAUAUAUUAGUGUAUUACCGCUAGCAGUCUUUCAGUGACAAUAUGAGCGGGCUUCUCCACUUUUCUAAUUUAAUUAUAUGCAGUUGAAUAAAUAUUUGAUACUUCCAAUAGGCAAUAUAUCCUUAAUAGUUCCAGUUACAGACCUUGGGUAUUGCCCAAGCUUCUGAGAACUUUACAAUUUAUUAUGUAACCCCGGGCAUUCUAUAAAAGGCGUCACCAAAGGAUAUACGUUUUCCUGCAGGUUUUCUUGGGCCAAUCCCCUUCUUUGACCGAGAAUAGUAAGUCAACUCCUCGCCUCUUCUCUAAUUUAGUCCUUCCUUGUGUCAAAUUCAAGUUGAUUCCCAAAGAAAUUCAUCAAGGGUGCGCGGAUUUCAGUUUAGCUACACAAAAGCCAACAUGAACUAUUAAGAUUGAAUUAUCCCAGUGCUCCCUGC
rnacentral:lncRNA from 1 species